rnacentral:rRNA from 1 species
AGGCGACGAUCAGUAGGGGUUCUGAGAGGAAGGUCCCCCACAUUGGAACUGAGACACGGUCCAAACUCCUACGGGAGGCAGCAGUGAGGAGUAUUGGUCAAUGGACGAGAGUCUGAACCAGCCAAGUAGCGUGCAGGAUGACGGCCCUAUGGGUUGUAAACUGCUUUUAUAAGGGAAUAAAGUGAGUCUCGUGAGACUUUUUGCAUGUACCUUAUGAAUAAGGACCGGCUAAUUCCGUGCCAGCAGCCGCGGUAAUACGGAAGGUCCGGGCGUUAUCCGGAUUUAUUGGGUUUAAAGGGAGCGUAGGCCGGAGAUUAAGCGUGUUGUGAAAUGUAGACGCUCAACGUCUGCACUGCAGCGCGAACUGGUUUCCUUGAGUACGCACAAAGUGGGCGGAAUUCGUGGUGUAGCGGUGAAAUGCUUAGAUAUCACGAAGAACUCCGAUUGC